rnacentral:rRNA from 1 species
UACGGGGGGGGCAAGCGUUGUUCGGAAUUACUGGGCGUAAAGGGCUCGUAGGUGGCCAACUAAGUCGGACGUGAAAUCCCUCGGCUUAACCGGGGAACUGCGUCCGAUACUGGUUGGCUUGAGUUUGGGAGAGGGAUGCGGAAUUCCAGGUGUAGCGGUGAAAUGCGUAGAUAUUGGGAGGAACACCAGUGGCGAAGGCGGCUACCUGGACCGGUUCUGACGCUGAGGCGCGAAAGCGUGGGGAGCAAACAGG